rnacentral:rRNA from 1 species
UGGGGAAUUUUGGACAAUGGGGGCAACCCUGAUCCAGCAAUGCCGCGUGUGUGAAGAAGGCCUUCGGGUUGUAAAGCACUUUUGUCCGGGAAGAAAUCCCCUGCCCUAAUACGGCGGGGGGAUGACGGUACCGGAAGAAUAAGCACCGGCUAACUACGUGCCAGCAGCCGCGGUAAUACGUAGGGUGCGAGCGUUAAUCGGAAUUACUGGGCGUAAAGCGUGCGCAGGCGGUGAUGUAAGACCGAUGUGAAAUCCCCGGGCUCAACCUGGGAACUGCAUUGGUGACUGCAUUGCUCGAGUAUGGCAGAGGGGGGUGGAAUUCCACGUGUAGCAGUGAAAUGCGUAGAGAUGUGGAGGAACACCGAUGGCGAAGGCAGCCCCCUGGGCCAAUACUGACGCUCAUGCACGAAAGCGUGGGGAGCAAACAGGAUUAGAUACCCUGGUAGUCCACGCCCUAAACGAUGUCAACUGGUUGUCGGGCCUUCAUUGGCUUGGUAACGUAGCUAACGCGUGAAGUUGACCGCCUGGGGAGUACGGUCGCAAGAUUAAAACUCAAAUGAAUUGAC